UUUCCUACGGGGGGCAGCAGUGGGGAAUAUUGCACAAUGGGGGGAACCCUGAUGCAGCGACGCCGCGUGAGUGAAGAAGUAUUUCGGUAUGUAAAGCUCUGUCAGCAGGGAAGAAGAAAGACGGUACCUGACCAAGAAGCCCCGGCUAACUACGUGCCAGCAGCCGCGGUAAUACGUAGGUGGCAAGCGUUAUCCGGAUUUACUGGGUGUAAAGGGAGCUUAGACGGCAGGGCAAGUCUGGGGUGAAAGGCAGUGGGCCAACCCCGGGACGACUCUGGAAACUGUCCGGCUGGAGUGCAGGAGGG
rnacentral:rRNA from 1 species